rnacentral:lncRNA from 1 species
AAUUAGUUAAAAAGGAAGAAAUGCUUCUUAUCAUGGUUAGUUAAUUCGUGUUUAAUUCGCGAAUUAUUCACGAAUUUUUGAAGAAACGAAUUAAACAGCCGUUUCCGUAUUUUUCCGAAAAAUUUGAAAAAACAUAUUUUUUUCGUCAAAAAUAAUCAUUUGUGAAUUAUUCGCGAUUCACGAACGAUUCGUCCGAAAAAACGGCGCUCGUGGUUACGGACUCGCGGUCGCAUCGUCGCCGCUCUUGUCGCCUAACUCGUCCAUGUUGUCAUC